ACUUCGAGCUUCCGGCCCACAAUCUUCUCCGGCCGUGUCGAUUCAUUCGCCCGCGAAACCGCCCCGUCUCCCAUGCCCAUGCCGCGCGCAGAGGAUCCCGAACGCCGCCGCCGCCGGCGGCAAGCACAGAUCCUCGCUGCGCCGGGCGAGGCGAUGGGUCUGCACCAAAUUUGGCCUGCACCAGCUGCCGCACUCCUCUUCCGGCGCCGCCGCCAUCGUCCCGACUCCUCUUCCGCGCCCUACCGAAUCCUCCUCUUCCGCGCCGGCGCCAUCGUCGUCCCGUCUCGACGCCGCCUCCGGCCUCGGUCACGCCGGCGUCGAAGUAUCAUGGGGGAAAAUCCGCCGCCCGCCGCCCCGCAUCGGCAAUAGGAAGCUCAGCAGUCAGCAGUAACCAUUGUACGCACAUUGUUGUCAAUCCACAGGAAUGGCUCCUACAACUAAUCAUAACCUGAUCUGAGUUAGAUCUAUCCCGCUUAGUCAUUUGAAAGCUCGUCCAAAUCAUGGGGUCACCUUUUUCUAGCUGCUUCUGGUGGAGGAUGCAUGGCCUUGUGAACCACCGCAGCUGUACAAUUACUGUCUGAUGGACAGUGAUAUAUAUGGUCCUUGUUUUGGACACAAAAUAGAUCUCAGCCUGGACAGUCUCACUAAUUGGCAUCUUUGGUAGGGUUCAUGACAGGUUAAUUACUCGGCGUGCUUGCCUGGCAAGCCCGGAGCAUCAUUUUCGUCCAUCAAGACCAUUCCAAGCGGUGGUCCCCGGCACCAGACGACAAAAUUGAACUGUCUGAAAACGUGAUGGAGAAUUGGAUCCCUCAGCACUGAAGGGUCCAGCAACAACCGUAAGAGGCAUGAAGUGAUGUGCCCUUGGCUUGCUUGGAGACAGGAUCUUGGACUGGAUCAGCACGAAUUAAUAGGUGACGGCAUUGAUUGAUCUGGGAAGAGAGGAGUAGCUCCUGCUGGGGUUCCUUAUUAUGUGCCGACAUGCGUCUGCACGCUCGCACGUGAUCCUCGCCAAUCAGAGGCUGGACCUGGACUCUGUUGACUUGAAAGGAGGCACAUACGUAAUUGCUCCAUCCUGACCAAUCCAGCUAAUAAGGACGGUCAUAUUCAAGCUACAACAACAAACACAUGGCAUUGAUUACUGAUGAACACCAGUAGUGGUACGUACCAACUACUUAUAUAUGCGUGUGAUAUCUGCUAUAUAUGAUGAUCCUGUUGUUGAGUUCCUUCUGGGCGAGAGCUGCACCACAGUAGUAGCCACCAAACUCUGCUGUCUUCUUCCUCCUUCUGCUACUGCCAUGCGGGGCCCACUUCACAGCCAACCCCUUGCCCUGGCAAUAACCAAUAAUGCAAACACUCCCAGAUUUAGCAGCGUGGUCUGCUUGCUUUUGAUGCCUCCUCCUGUUUCCUCCUUGGAGAGAGCCGUCUAUAAACUCACAGAGAGCUCACCAUCUGACCACCAGCUUAGCAGCCACGUACACUUCACAGAACUAGCACACACCACACCACACAAGAAACCUUUGCUUUCUUCCAUAUCUUCGAU